AGAGUUUGAUCCUGGCUCAGGAUGAACGCUAGCGGCAGGCUUAACACAUGCAAGUCGAGGGGCAGCGCGGGAUAGCAAUAUCCUGGCGGCGACCGGCGGAAGGGUGCGUAACGCGUGAGCGACAUGCCCGUUGCCCGGGGACAACCGGUGGAAACGCCGACUAAUCCCCGAUGGGAUAUUGUGCCGCAUGGCACGAUAUUGAAAGUUACGGCGGCGACGGAUUGGCUCGCGUCCGAUUAGCUUGUUGGCGGGGUAACGGCCCACCAAGGCUGCGAUCGGUAGGGGUUCUGAGAGGAAGGCCCCCCACAAUGGGACUGAGACACGGCCCAUACUCCUACGGGAGGCAGCAGUGAGGAAUAUUGGUCAAUGGGCGGAAGCCUGAACCAGCCAUGCCGCGUGCGGGAAGGAGGCCCUAUGGGCUGUGAACCGCUUUUGCCUGGGGGCAAUAAGGGCGUCGGGCACGUCCGAUGAGAGUACCAGGGGAAUAAGCAUCGGCUAACUCCGUGCCAGCAGCCGCGGUAAUACGGGGGAUGCGAGCGUUAUCCGGAUUCAUUGGGUUUAAAGGGUGCGUAGGCUGUGCGUCAAGUCGGGGGUGAAAUUCCGGUGCUCAACACCGGGGCUGCCCUUGAUACUGUCGCGCUGGAGUGCGGAUGCCGCCGGAGGAAUGAGUGGUGUAGCGGUGAAAUGCUUAGAUAUCACUCAGAACACCGAUUGCGAAGGCAUCUGGCGAAUCCGUAACUGACGCUGAGGCACGAAAGCGUGGGGAUAGAACAGGAUUAGAUACCCUGGUAUUCCACGCCGUAAACGAUGAUGGCUAACCGCCGGCGACACACUGUCGGUGGCCAAGCGAAAGCGAUAAGCCAUCCACCUGGGGAGUACGUCGGCAACGAUGAAACUCAAAGGAAUUGACGGGGGCCCGCACAAGCGGAGGAACAUGUG
rnacentral:rRNA from 1 species